rnacentral:rRNA from 2 species
GACUCUCGUCAACAGAUAUCUGAGUUCUCAUAUCGAUGAAGAACAUAGCGAAUACUUGAUGUAAAUUGUAAAAUUCCAUAAACCGUUGAGUACUGUUUGAAUGCAAAUUGUGUACUUGAAGUCAUUAAGUAGAAGACACGUUUGUCUGGACGUUA